UACACUCAUUGGUUAAUAGAAUGCAGUUUAAUUUCAACUUGUCCUACACAACUUGCACCAAAAACCUGGUAUUUGGUUAAAAUUAUACAAGAGGAUUUGUGCAGUUUCAGUCUUACAGGGAUAUGCUGGGGGGGGGGGCAGAUUGGGACCUGCUGAGUGAGAAUGGAGCCCCCCUCUGUGCCCCACUUGGGGGGCAGGAGCAGACAGAGCAGCCAGAUCUGAGUCAGUAGGGGGUCCGAGGGCUGCUGUGGUUGGGGCUUCCUGGGUAGGGCAGGUCCUGAGUCCAGAGGAUCACAAAGUGAGGAGUAGGGUGGGGCACGCACUGGGAGUUCUGGGCAGAGCACUGACAGGUACUCACUGGCAGGGCGGGACGCCGGCAGGUACUCACUGGCAGGGCGGGGCGCCGGCAGGUACUCACUGGCAGUGCCAUGCAACAGUACCGGUAGUGGGUGGCACACUUUGGUUUUUUGUGUGUUUUCUUCCUCUCGGUAUUUUUCUGUACAAGGACAUUGAAGAGAAAGUCACCGGUGCUCCAUCCUUAUAAGGUUGCUGCCUAGUUCUAUUUUUGUCGUCAUCUAAAAUACCCACCUAGACUCCCCUCUGCUGUUCUCUUUGUUGUUGUUUAACAAGUAACCUAGGGGACAAAGAGGUUGGUUAAAAUUGUCAAGACCAUAGAUGGGGCUUGGGGUGCUCGUAAUCCCCACAUGAAUACAGAACCUGCUACUUAAGUGAAUAAGAGGAAAAAAUAAAUUAUGUGCUCCUUGACAAUGUACUCAUUUUCUCAUAAAGUCAUGUUCAUAACAUCCAAAGUCUGUUUUCUUCAGGGUCUUCACUGCUUUCUUAAAUGCAGGAUUUCUGAGAGCUGUUGGCAUUCUAAGAACGCUGGGAAUCUCCGAGGGGAAGAGGGAGGGGAGGAACAGGAGCCCCAUUUAGGUCCCUAGAACCUUGUGGAGGGUCGGUGCUAGGGGAGGAACAGGAGCCCCCUUUGCGCCCCCAGAAUGUCGUGGAGGGUCGGUGCUAGGGGAGGAACAGGAGCCCCCUUUGUGUCCCCAGAAUGUCGUGGAGGGCCAGUGCUCCGCGGAGUGCUCAGGAGAUGUGCUCCCUGCCGUCCGCAGUGCUGUGCGCAGAGUGCCCGUCCUGGAGAAACACGUGCCCAAUGCUUUCCACCCUUCCUACCCUGGAUCAUGGUGAUGUAUCUGUUGCUACAGGAGAAUCUUUUCUUUGCUGCUGGAAGCAUGAUCAGAGUGAUGGUAAACAGACAUGAUCAAACAUAUGACUGUCUUCCAAGAGUUGCCUAUCUACGAGCUGAAUUCGGCAAGGGGAGCUCCGGAGUCCUCACAUAGAUGGGCGCAGAGCCUCAGUUCUGUAUCCUGCCAUGUGUCAGGGAAGAAACCCCUGGAGCAGCCAGGAUGAGGCAGCCAGGCCCACGUAUGAGGACACAGCACUCUAGUGUCACCAAUGCCCGUGCGGUGAGGACAGCAGUGUGAGUGCCCUGUUAGCAGCUGCUGAGAUUCUCCCCGUCAGGAACAGAACUGUUUGGUCUAGGACAGUUGUUUUACUUUAACGUCCUGUUUUAUGCCAUUUUCUUAUGGGUUUUUUCAUCCUUUCUUCAUUUACACCCCUAUCCAGUAGAGUCUAGAUUUGUGCUGACCAGUUCAUCAAUCGGUGAACUUUGUUGUUGUUUGAAACUCAGUUCCUCGUGUCAGAUACUCAAGCCACACGUGACUGGUGGCAACUCUGGAUCGACAGCAUAGAUACGGGACAUUUCUGUCCUGGCAGAAGCUGCUGUGGGAGAACCCUGACCACUGUCAGUAUUUGAGAACACUUUCUGGGCCCUGCAGCACCUCUGCCUACUUUAUUAUGCUAGAGGUUGUAGGACUGAGAGUGGACAGAUGUCGGAUGUCCACACAGAACUGUCCCCUGUGCCCUUUCUCACGGGUACUUACUGGUUGAAG